GACGAACGCUGGCGGCGUGCCUAACACAUGCAAGUCAACUUGACUGAAGGAGCAAUCUGACAGUAGAGUGGCGCAAGGGUGCGUAACGCGUAAGUAACUUGCCCAAGGUAAGGAAUAACGUCGAGAAAUCGGCGCUAAUACCUCAUAAUGCAGCGGAUCCGCAUGGAUAUGUUGUUAAAGGUUUACCGCCUUGGAUAGGCUUGCGUCUGAUUAGCUAGUUGGUGUGGUAACGGCACACCAAGGCUACGAUCAGUAACUGGUCUGAGAGGAUGAUCAGUCACACUGGAACUGAGACACGGUCCAGACUCCUACGGGAGGCAGCAGUGAGGAAUAUGGU
rnacentral:rRNA from 1 species